CAUGUCUUUUUCAUUUUUUUGUUUAAAAAGAAAUGCACUAUGAAAUCAGUUCUCAGGAGUCUCUUUUUGGCCGAUCAAACUUGACGAUUAGGGGUUUCAAAUUGUCUUUCAGAAUCAAUUAACACUAUUUAUUUUUUACAUUUGUUGACGUACCAUCAAGGUGUCUCAUGGUAAUAAGGUUGCUGCAUACAGAAAAGCUAUCAGCAAUUUAGAGUAUGGAAACAAAAAUUCAUUAGAUCAUUUAGCAAAGCAUUGACUUAACCCACAUAAGCUUGGCCACACUUAAAAUAUUUUGGUUUGCCCAAACACUACCCAACAUGGAGACAGUGGGUAGGUAGGUAGGUAGGCAUAUUCUUUUUCUUUUUUUUGGCAAAGAGAAAUGUAGGUAUCAGAUGUUUAUUAGUCUUCAUGCCUAUCUGAACAAGAGAGCACACGCUGAAAUGUCUCGCCUUCUAUACUAAUCAUUGAUAUUAUGUAGAUAGUCCUAAGUAUAAAGCUUUAUUACAACUGUCUCAUAAACUUAACAUUAACCAAGAUAACAAAACAAAGACCAAUGAACCAUGAAAAUGAGGUCAAGGUCAGAUGAACCAUGCCAGGCAGACAUGUACAGCUAACAAUGCUUCUAUACAACAUAUAUAGUUGACCUAUUACUUAUAGUUUAAGAAAAAU
rnacentral:lncRNA from 1 species